UUUAGGAACAUGCAAACAAAAAUGUUUAAAUAUGUAGGUAAGGAUUUGAAGAUAGAUUACCAGGCUUUCAUCUUGAUGAUUUGGGAAACUACUUUGGGGGACCCUUAUAACUCUUCUAUGCAUAUAGGUGUCUUCAUCAUCGUCUUCUUCAUCGUCAUUACGUUCCUCAGGUUCUCUUGAGUUCUAUGUCAAACCACAACAUAUAUGUAAAUAGAGUUAUUACAAGCAUGCUCAAUAAUGAAUGCAAUGACUAGAUCUGCACAUAGUUAAUUACCAGUCGAGAAUUAGUACCAUGCUGAGAGCUAGGAGUCCCCACAAUAUGACCUCCUUGUGAAAUCAAUUGGUUCAGUUGUUGCUGCAUUCGUUGCAUCUGCUCCUGCAUUGAGUCCAGGCGUUGUUCAGCUUGUCGACGUGCUUCAAUUUCCACAAGAACCCUUGUGGUCAUUCGGACCUGUGUACUCUGUGCCCAGAUCUGUUGGUGUUGGCCCCAUACCUAAUACACGGACACGACCCCUUGGUUCCUUCAUUCCACAAACACGUGCAUAUAGGUCACCUUCCUGAAUACUUUUUUCCUUCCACUCAGGGUGGUUUUCGGCUGCUUCAACGAGUUGUUUCUGCAAAAUGUAUUGCAUUUACUUGAUACAUUUACUUGUAGAAUUUUUGAGUAAUACUAAAUGAAUGGGCAAAUACUUACAAUUAUUGGCGCUGCCUGUGAUAAAUGGUCCCCCUUCUUGCGUGUACGUGUUUUGAUGAAAACUUCAUCUCUCCGAGGGGCAUACCCAAGUUCAUC
rnacentral:lncRNA from 1 species